GAUGAACGCUAGCUACAGGCUUAACACAUGCAAGUCGAGGGGCAGCAUGAAAGUUUGCUUGCAAACUUUUGAUGGCGACCGGCGCACGGGUGAGUAACACGUAUCCAACCUGCCUCAUACUCGGGGAUAGCCUUUCGAAAGAAAGAUUAAUACCCGAUGUCAUAGUCCUACCGCAUGAUGGGAUUAUUAAAGAAUUUCGGUAUGGGAUGGGGAUGCGUUCCAUUAGUUAGUUGGCGGGGUAACGGCCCACCAAGACAACGAUGGAUAGGGGUUCUGAGAGGAAGGUCCCCCACACUGGAACUGAGACACGGUCCAG
rnacentral:rRNA from 1 species